UGUGCCGGGUCUGUCUCUAUACCCUCUUCCCUUUAUCCGCAUCCAGACACAUACUGAAUACUCCCGUGCCAGCCCAUGUGCUGGGCCCCAGGGGCGGGGUGGCAGCGGUGAAGACUAACAACGACCAGCCCAGGGUAAGAGUACCAACUCACAGCGCAACGCUGCCACCCGCCCGCCCCCGCGCUCCGGGAGAGGCCCCGCACCAAGCACUUCCCAGUCAUUAGGCCAUCGUGCCAGCAGCCUUCCGAGGCAGGCACCGGUGUCCUCCUCCAGCUCGGCGGCCAGGCCCAGGUGCACAGGGGCUGACGCGCCCGCACUGCACCCCCGGGCUCAGCAGCGGGAGCCCAGCAGCACAGCCACGGCCCGGGCUCUGACCCGUAUGCUGUCCCGCCUCCAUGCUGCCCGGGGCUGCACAAGAAAGCCCCCUCCACUGUCCUCGGGCCACCAGUCCAUAGAUGAGGGGUAUGUACAGAAACCGGGGAGGGAUCACCAUCCCCGUGCUGCAGGGAAACUGGGGACAGAAGAGGUCCAGGGGCCAGGGAGGCUGCAGCGGGAGGCAGGAGUCCCAUGUGCAGGGCCCUACCGCCCAGCAGAGGGUGGGAACGGGGAGCCUUUCAGACUCGGAAGCAGAGAAAGGACGUGGUCAGCUCUGUGUCUUGGAAUUACCCUUUUGUGUACUGUGAUACUUUUUUAAAGAAAAAGUAUUUAUUACUGUUUUAACUUAUUAAAAUAAUUUCAACAGAUUUAUGAGGAGAAAAAGCCAGCAUACAAGCAAUGUGAUACCACUUAUGUUAAAACAACGAUAAAACUAAUGAAAUACCACAGGAAAAAGGCCUGGAAGGAUACCCAUGAAGCUGAUGGCCAAGGCCACUGCUAGGAGGGAGACGCAGAUGAGGGGGUCAAGCCCAGGGCACUUAUCUGUGUUUGACUUCCUACAGAGAGAGAGAUUUCUAAGCUCCUUGUGUACCUAAGGAUUGUUGAAGGUUAUAAAAAAUGACCGGUCAUGCUGGUGGCAGGUCCCAGCCAUGUGGGCCAUGCAAGGGACAGUUCUGACCCGGGCAGAGGGGGCCCCAGAAAAGCUAAUGACAAAGACCAGGACAAUCAUACUAACAUGCAAAUCACAGCAGGGAUCAAAUCUUCCUCUUUAAAUAAACUUAUUUAAGUAAAAAAAAAAAAAAAGCCCUUUAAAUAAGCAGUCAGUAGUAAUAAAUAGGUGGUGCAUGGACGUGGGACAAACCACGAGGACAGUAGGAUGAUGGAAUACGGCCCCAGCUGCGCGAGCAGAGGCGGACCCAAGUGGUACUUCCUGUCCCUUUCCGAAACGCCUCCCUCCUCUUCACCCCCACUUCUGCCUACAGAAGGCAACUCAAAUAGCACUUUUUUCCACGAAAUGUUCUCUGCGGCCUCUGCCCUCCUUCCUCUUCCAUAUGGACGGUGUGCACUGCGUGGGGGCCUGGGCUUAGGCAGUGUGGCCAGGAAGCUUCUCGGCGGGCGGGCAGCCCUUUCUGCCGCAGCGCACCCGACCCUGGGAAUCUGGCUGCAUGGCAGUCGGGCCUUCAGGGCCGCCUCUCACUGCCUGGGGUGGGGGGGGGGGUGUGACAGGGCCCUUCGUGGGCAGGAGCUUCUCCGUCCACCCAAUAUGACACAAUGGCAAGUCCCACCUCCCUCCGAAAGUGAUAAUGCACAUUUUCCACCGAAAAGGCCACUCUUCGGUAUGGUUCAGAAAAAUGUACCCUGUGGGCUGAUCACAAACACUGCAAUAGGGUGGACUUUCCAGAUACCUCGUCUGCAUGGAGAUGAGCUAAUAGCCACUCUGCGCUUUCCCCUCUCCCACCCCUCCGGCGUGCUGUCCACUCUCAUUUUUCAGAAACAUGCAUGUUUUCACUGAACAACAGCAAAAAACCCCAAAAGACCAAAACAAAAAUGAAAAAACGCACUUCCUAUCGCCAUUGCUGCAGGAACCUGCCACCUGCUCAAGUGCUCACGUUCCCUUGCCUCCUCGGUCUCUGACCACACGGCUUCCUAUGUCAAGGGCAUGUCCGCAUCGCCGCCCGCUGCUGACACUGUCUGUGUUUCUCACUCCCUGUGCCAUACUAUCUCCUUCUCAAUGGGGAGAAUACACUUCUCUGGUGUUCAGGAACACCCCCCACCCGACCUGAGUUUUGGGGGCAACAGCAUGGUGCCGUGGGGCCACCCCGCCUCUCUGGGGGUCCUCAGGUGGGUCUCGCCCUUUCUCUCAUCCCUGAAGGCCGCCCACUGCCUCACUCCAACUUCACGAGUCUAGAACACAUCCCUCUGACUCUCUUUCUAGGGCCACCCCUCACUCCAACCCCCCAGCCUCCCACUCCCCCGACGUCCUGGGCACGCCUCCGACCAGACCAGCUGAGGGGAGGUGCCCGUGCUGGCCUCCUGCAGCUCCCAAGCACUGCCUUCCCCGAUCACCCGGCUGCCCCAGUUACUACAUCUGGCCGCCCCACUCCUGGGGUCAUCUGGUAACAUUUGACUGCCAAUAGCCAUUUCCAUCUCUAACCAGACCUUAGCUUUUUCUUUUUUUUUUUUUUAAUUGUCUUUCCCCUAAAAGUGUGAUCUGGGGAGAAGAAUAAUUCCAGGUACCCUUUUCCAGAGAAUCGGAAGGCAGUAAGCUGACGGGACCAGAACUGAGAUCAGGAGGAGUGGCCCCAGACCCCGUGCUCAGCCUAUCAGAUGGACACUCUCAAUCUAGGAAGGGACAAAAAGGAGAGCUCGAGGUGGUUCCAGCUCGGCCACCAGGAGGUGGAAAGGUUCAGCUGGAUCAGAGGCUGGGUCCCUCAACACCACGGACCUGCAAUCAGCAUCAUGGGAGGACCAGCUCCAAGAAGUGACGAGCAAGGCCCCAGACCCCCCACCACCGUCUCUUCUCAGAGAGCAGCAGUGCACCGUGUACCCCGCUUCCACCCCCUCGUGAUCUCAUCAGAGCCUCGUGAACAACCACCGAGGCAAGCUGGAUACAGCAGGGUCUGGGCGCUUCCACAGAGAACACCAAGGGUCACGGAGCUUAAGGGCUUACCCAAGAAACCAGGGCCAGCGAGGGACGGACUACAGAUUGGCAAUCCAAGGGCUGGCCUUUAGUUUUUGGUACAGUGACAAAAGGACUUGAGCAUUCAUUCAAAUAAAGUUUUGCUUAGAUACUUAACAAUGUCAUGAGAAUUACUUCAAAAUAAUAAGGGUUAAGUACGUAGCAGAUGUGUAGAUAAAACAAGAUUAGUUAUGAGUUGCCAUUUUAGCUGGGCGAUGGGCUUCAUUGUAUUGGUCUACUUUUUUUGUUUGACUUUUCCCAUUUAAGGGUAAAAAAAAGGUAUCUCAAUCCUCACCAACAAUGUGACCUGAUGCCUUCACCCUCAAGUUUCUGAGACUUGAAAAAAGAGAAAAAUGGCAGUGCCCCAUGACAAGAUAGAUGAGCUCAGGCCUCUGAUGGUACA